rnacentral:rRNA from 1 species
UACAGAGGUCUCAAGCGUUGUUCGGAUUCAUUGGGCGUAAAGGGUGCGUAGGCGGCGCGGUAAGUCGGGUGUGAAAUCUCGGAGCUUAACUCCGAAACUGCAUUCGAUACUGCCGUGCUUGAGGACUGGAGAGGAGACUGGAAUUUACGGUGUAGCGGUGAAAUGCGUAGAUAUCGAGAGGAACACCAGUGGCGAAGGCGGUCUGCUGGGCCGUUGCUGACGCUGAUGCGCGACAGCGUGGGGAGCAAACAGG